rnacentral:snRNA from 1 species
GUGCUCGCUUCGGCAGCACAUAUACCAGA